UACGAAGGGGGCUAGCGUUGCUCGGAAUCACUGGGCGUAAAGGGUGCGUAGGCGGGUUUUUAAGUCAGAGGUGAAAUCCUGGAGCUCAACUCCAGAACUGCCUUUGAUACUGAAAGUCUUGAGUAUGGGGAGAGGUGAGUGGAACUGCGAGUGUAGAGGUGAAAUUCGUAGAUAUUCGCAAGAACACCAGUGGCGAAGGCGCUCACUGGCCCAUACUGACGCUGAGGCACGAAAGCGUGGGGAGCAAACAGGGA
rnacentral:rRNA from 1 species